rnacentral:rRNA from 1 species
AUAUCAAUAAGCGGAGGAAAAGAAACCAACCGGGAUUGCCCUAGUAACGGCGAGUGAAGCGGCAAGAGCUCAAAUUUGAAAGCUGGCCCCCUCGGGGUCCGCAUUGUAAUUUGCAGAGGAUGCUUCGGGAGCGGUCCCCAUCUAAGUGCCCUGGAACGGGCCGUCAUAGAGGGUGAGAAUCCCGUAUGGGAUGGGGUGCCCGCGCCCGUGUGAAGCUCCUUCGACGAGUCGAGUUGUUUGGGAAUGCAGCUCUAAUUGGGUGGUAAAUUUCAUCUAAAGCUAAAUAUUGGCCGGAGACCGAUAGCGCACAAGUAGAGUGAUCGAAAGAUGAAAAGAACUUUGAAAAGAGAGUUAAAAGACUUGAAAUCGUUGAGAAGGAAGCGGUAGAAUGGCGCUUGCCUAACCAUUGACCCGUGCCAGCACUGCGUAAGGCUGCUAGGGCCACCUGGGGAAGCGACAGCCGGUUUCCGCGGCGUGAGGCAAGAUGAGGUUCCGCAUCCACACAAGCUUGGCCGACCUGGGCUGCUUCGGCAGUCAGUCUCCCUGUGCUCGUGGGCGCGGAGCCUGAGGGGCUUUGUGCGAUCUUGCCAAAAUGGUUUUUACCGA